rnacentral:misc_RNA from 1 species
GAUGAAGAACGUAGCGAAAUGCGAUACGUAAUGUGAAUUGCAGAAUUCACUGAAUCAUCGAGUCUUUGAACGCACAUUGCGCCCCCUGGUAUUCCGGGGGGCAUGCCUGUCCGAGCGUCAUUGCUGCCCUCAAGCACGGCUUGUGUGUUGGGCCUCCGUCCUCCUCCCGGGGGACGGGCCCGAAAGGCAGCGGCGGCACCGCGUCCGGUCCUCGAGCGUAUGGGGCUUCGUCACCCGCUCUUGUAGGCCCGGCCGGCGCUUGCCGACACAUCAAUCUUUUUUCCAGGUUGACCUCGGAUCAGGUAGGGAUACCCGCUGAACUUAAGCAUAUCAAUAAGCGGAGGA